rnacentral:rRNA from 1 species
GACGAACGCUGGCGGCGUGCUUAACACAUGCAAGUCGAACGGGAUUUAGUAGACAGAAGCCUCGGCUAAAGAUUACUAAUGAGAGUGGCGAACGGGUGAGUAACGCGUGAGCAACCUGCCUAUGACAGUGGGAUAGCCUCGGGAAACCGGGAUUAAUACCGCAUAAAAUCGUAGAAACACAUGUUUUAACGGUCAAAGAUUUAUCGGUCAUAGAUGGGCUCGCGUCUGAUUAGCUAGUUGGGGAGAUAACAGCCCACCAAGGCGACGAUCAGUAGCCGGUCUGAGAGGAUGAACGGCCACAUUGGAACUGAGACACGGUCCAAACUCCUACGGGAGGCAGCAGUGGGGAAUAUUGCACAAUGGGGGAAACCCUGAUGCAGCGACGCCGCGUGAACGAAGAAGGUAUUCGUAUCGUAAAGUUCUGUCCUAUGGGAAGAUAAUGACAGUACCAUAGAAGAAAGCUCCGGCUAAAUACGUG